CUGGCGGGCGGCGCGCUGGGAGAUUUUCCUCUGUCCAACCCGACUCGGAGGGUGCAAGCAAUCCCAGAGCAGCAAAAGUGAAACAAAAAGAGCUUGAUGGUUGGUGCUGCCCAUGUCUCUGGAAUAAGCAUUGGAACAGUCCAUGAGAGGAAGGCAUCCUUCCACAGGGUGGCAGUUCUGUCUACAUGUGGCUGAGGAAACUGGCUUGGAAGUGUGGAUGAAAGAAAUUUGGAAGCAAGUCAAGAGAGAACAAAAUAUCUUUUCCAAGAGGAAAGCGUGGUUGUUUGCUUUGAUGUCAUUUUGUCAGGUGCAGACUAUUUCUUGGUCUUUCCAGCAGUACUGUAUUACUUUUCUAGAAGAGGAACUCCCGGUGAUUUAAAGCUCUCAGUCUAACACUAUUGA